rnacentral:rRNA from 1 species
UACGUAGGUGGCAAGCGUUGUCCGGAUUUACUGGGCGUAAAGAGCGCGCAGGCGGUUCGAUCAAGUCGAGUACGGUGAAAGCCCCCGGCUCAACUGGGGAGGGUCAUUCGGAUACUGAUCGACUCGAAGGCAGGAGAGGGUAGUGGAAUUCCCGGUGUAGUGGUGGAAAUGCGUAGAUAUCGGGAGGAACGACCAGUGGCGGAAGGCGAAGCU